rnacentral:rRNA from 1 species
ACGGUAGGUCAGUAUGCCCCGAAUCUCCUGGGCUACACGCGCGCUACAAAGGGCGGGACAAUGGGCUCCGACACCGAAAGGUGAAGGCAAUCUCGAAACCCGUCCGUAGUUCGGAUUGAGGGUUGUAACUCACCCUCAUGAAGCUGGAUUCCGUAGUAAUCGCGAAUCAACAACUCGCGGUGAAUAUGCCCCUGCUCCUU